rnacentral:rRNA from 1 species
GAUGAACGCUGGCGGCGUGCCUAAUACAUGCAAGUCGAGCGAACAGACGAGGAGCUUGCUCCUCUGACGUUAGCGGCGGACGGGUGGGUAACACGUGGAUAACCUACCUAUAAGACUGGGAUAACUUCGGGAAACCGGAGCUAAUACCGGAUAACAUGUUGAACCGCAUGGUUCAACAGUGAAAGACGGUCUUGCUGUCACUUAUAGAUGGAUCCGCGCCGCAUUAGCUAGUUGGUAAGGUAACGGCUUACCAAGGCAACGAUGCGUAGCCGACCUGAGAGGGUGAUCAGCCACACUGGAACUGAGACACGGUCCAGACUCCUACGGGAGGCAGCAGUAGGGAAUCUUCCGCAAUGGGCGAAAGCCUGACGGAGCAACGCCGCGUGAGUGAAGAAGGUCUUCGGAUCGUAAAACUCUGUUAUUAGGGAAGAACAACUGUGUGAGUAACUAUGCACGUCUUGACGGUACCUAAUCAGAAAGCCCCGGCUAACUACGUG